GCCAGUGUAGUGUAGUGCUUUGAACAUUGGACUAUGACUCUAGACACCAAGGUUCAAAUUCUUGCUUGGCCA